UUAUUAAAGAAUGCUUUUAUAGAUAUAAAAUUUAAUUAUGAUUUAUAAAGAGUUAAGAUAAUAUUAUUUAGGUUUAAUUUAUUUAGUGGGCAAUAAAAUUUAACCCCGGUAGUUAAUUGUUUGUAUAAUACUUGUUCCAGAAUAAUCGGCUAGGCUUGUUAAAUUUAUACUUUAUUUUUGGUAAAUUACAAUUUUAAUAAAUGAAUUUAUAUAAUUUUAGGUAAAAUUUUAAUUAUUUAAUGGGUAAAGUUGUACUUUAAAGUUUUGGUAAUCAAAUUAGAUUAGUACCUAAGUAGUCAAAUUUAAAAAGUGCAGAAGUAAAGUUGUAUUUAAACUGUAAGAAUAUUGGCAGAUUUUCUAAAUUAUCUUUGGAGGCUGAGUGGUAAUUGAGAACCCCCAUUAACUGCUAAUUUUUUUGGCUCAUGUAUGAUCGUUUAUUUUAUUCUUGAGGUAUAAAAUGUUUAAAUUUUUUUUUAAAAAAAUAGAUAUAUAUGUGGUGUAUAAGUAAGAAAUAUUUGGCCUACAAUAUUGUAUUAUGUGGAUAUGAAAUUUAGUGGUUUUGUUGAAAAUGUAAAAGACAGUAAAAAAAUUUUUAUGGUUUUUUGAAGAUUAUUUAGUAAUGGUACAAAUCAUCCAUCAAUUGCCCACAGGGGAGUAAGUUGUAGUAAAGUAGAUUUGGGGGAACUUAAAUCUAAUAAAA
rnacentral:ncRNA from 1 species